rnacentral:rRNA from 1 species
AACGUAGGAGGCAAGCGUUAUCCGGAGUUACUGGGCGUAAAGAGUGCGUAGGCGGACCUGUAAGUGGGUGGUGAAAGCGCCCGGCUAAACCGGGCGAGGUUCAUUCAGACUGCAGGUCUAGAGGCGGAUAGAGGGGUGCGGAAUUCCGGGUGGUAGCGGUGAAAUGUGUAGAGAUCCGGAGGAACACCAGUGGUGCAAACGGCGCCCUGGGUCCGAACUGACGCUGAAGCACGAAAGCGUGGGGAGCGAACGGG